CAUAGUCAUGGCUCUUUUAGAAUUUGUCUAGUGGGUUUUCUGGUGAAAACUAGACUGCCCCC
ensembl:snRNA U7 U7 small nuclear RNA